rnacentral:rRNA from 1 species
GUCAUCAUGGCCCUUACGAGUAGGGCUUACACACGUGCUACAAUGGCAUAUACAAAGAGAAGCGAACUCGCGAGAGCAAGCGGACCUCAUAAAGUAUGUCGUAGUCCGGAUUGGAGUCUGCAACUCGACUCCAUGAAGUUGGAAUCGCUAGUAAUCGUGGAUCAGCAUGCCACGGUGAAUACGUUCCCGGGCCUU